rnacentral:lncRNA from 7 species
AGAAGGUUCUCGUCACCCCAUGGGCUUCCCCAGAAUGAAGGGAUGACUGUCAUCACUGCAUGCCUAUAGCACAGGAAAGGGAGGUGACCCGGGGGUCCUGAAGGCAGCAUUUGUGUGGCCACGUAACAAUGCCUAACACAAACAACUGAGGUGUUUUAAUGGUGAGAAGGGAGAUUUGGGCCAAGGACACAGUUAAACCUCAGGAGUGGGAGUUUCAGGGAAUGUUAGAAAGACUGAAUCUUCAGCUACUUUAACUGUGUCCAUUCAUCCCCACACUGCUCUGCUGCAGCUUUGGCAGUGUCUGUUGUGACCAAAUGCCAUGGAAUCAGAUGUCCUUGCAGCCUUUCCAUGCCAGCACCCAGCACCCUCAAUGUCUCAUAAGGCCCCAAUGCCUCUAAAAAUCCAGGUGCUGAUGCAAACUGCUGCUAGAAAGCAAGUCAGAUUCUGCUUACAUUGGCAUCAUCCACUGAAGGACAUCAGGGAAACUCAAAGUCUAGAAAGAGAAACAGCUGCAGUCCUCAGAGGGUUGUUAUGAGGAUGGUUUCAACACUGCUGCCUCUUUUUGGGAAUUAAUUGGCUCCACAUCUUUAUGGACCUGGUACUGAAUGAUUUGCCCAGAGAGACACAGGAAAAUAUAGUAAGCUAUUUCUCCAAGCUGUUAUCUCCUAACUGAAGGACUGGAUCACACUUCAGCACUCAAAGUAUUAUAACAAGCAUUAAUUCAUUAAUGUUUUUGAAAGAUCUUGUAAACCUCUUAGGAGCAGAGCUUUGCAAGUGGUAAAUGCUAUUUAUUCCUAAACUUCUGAAACUUUCUGUACUUUGAUCUUUGUAAUU